AGGGAGUCACUGUUGGGAUACCACCCUUGUAGUAUUGGAUUUCUAACCAGCAGCCGUGAACCGGCUGGGGGACAAUGUCAGGUGGGGAGUUUGACUGGGGCGGUCGCCUCCGAAAGGGUAUCGGAGGCGCUCAAAGGUUCCCUCAGAAUGGUUGGAAACCAUUCGAAGAGUGCAAAGGCAGAAGGGAGCUUGACUGCGACACCGACGGGUGGAGCAGGUACGAAAGUAGGACUUAGUGAUCCGGUGGUAUAAAGUGGGAUUGCCAUCGCUCAACGGAUAAAAGCUACCCUGGGGAUAACAGGCUUAUCACUCCCAAGAGUUCACAUCGACGGAGUGGUUUGGCACCUCGAUGUCGGCUCAUCGCAUCCUGGGGCUGAAGUAGGUCCCAAGGGUUGGGCUGUUCGCCCAUUAAAGCGGUACGCGAGCUGGGUUCAGAACGUCGUGAGACAGUUCGGUCCCUAUCCGGCGUGGGCGUAGGAUAUUUGAGAGGAGCUGCCCUUAGUACGAGAGGACCGGGGUGGACUGGCCGCUGGUGGAUCUGUUGUAUUACCAAAUGCAUAGCAGAGUAGCCAAGCCGGGACGGGAUAAACGCUGAAGGCAUCUAAGCGUGAAGCCCCCCUCAAGAUGAGAUAUCCCAUAACGUCAAGUUAGUAAGACCCCUUGAAGACGACGAGGUAGAUAGGGCAGAGGUGGAAGUGCGGUAACGCAUGGAGCUGACUGUUACUAAUAGGUCGAGGGCAUAACCAAG
rnacentral:rRNA from 1 species